rnacentral:rRNA from 1 species
UACGUAGGGGGCAAGCGUUAUCCGGAUUUACUGGGUGUAAAGGGAGCGUAGACGGCCUUGCAAGUCUGGUGUGAAAGCCCGGGGCUCAACCCCGGGACUGCAUUGGAAACUGCAUGGCUGGAGUGCAGGAGAGGUAAGCGGAAUUCCUAGUGUAGCGGUGAAAUGCGUAGAUAUUAGGAGGAACACCAGUGGCGAAGGCGGCUUACUGGACGGUAACUGACGUUGAGGCUCGAAAGCGUGGGGAGCAAACAGG